AACGAACGCUUGCUGCAUGCUUUAUACAUGCAAGUCGAACGAAGGCCCUAGCUUGCUAGGUGUCCUUAGUGGCGCACGGGUGAGUAACACGUGGGAACAUACCUCAUAGUACGGAAUAACUGCGGGAAACUGUAGCUAAUACCGUAUAUUCCAGCAAUGGGAAAGAUUUAUCGCUAUGAGAUUGGCCCGCGCAAGAUUAGUUUGUUGGUAAGGUAAUGGCUUACCAAGACUACGAUCUUUAGCUGGUUUGAGAGGAUGAUCAGCCACACUGGGACUGAGACACGGCCCAGACUCCUACGGGAGGCAGCAGUAGGGAAUAUUGGACAAUGGGGGAAACCCUGAUCCAGCAAUGCAGCGUGAGUGACGAAGGCCUUAGGGUUGUAAAACUCUUUCAUCGGUGAGGAUAAUGACAGUAGCCGAAGAAGAAGGACCGGCUAAUUCCGUGCCAGCAGCCGCGGUAAUACGGAAGGUCCUAGCGUUGUUCGGAAUUACUGGGCGUAAAGCGCAUGUAGGCGGAACAGAAAGUUAGAAGUGAAAUCCCUGGGCUCAACCUAGGAAUUGCUUUUAAAACUUCUGUUCUGGAAUUCAGGAGAGGAAAAUGGAAUAUCCAGUGUAGAGGUGAAAUUCGUAGAUAUUGGAUGGAACACCAGUGGCGAAGGCGAUUUUCUGGACUGAUAUGACGCUGA
rnacentral:rRNA from 2 species